rnacentral:rRNA from 1 species
GAUGAACGCUAGCUACAGGCUUAACACAUGCAAGUCGAGGGGAAACGAUAUUGGAAGCUUGCUUCCGAUAGGCGUCGACCGGCGCACGGGUGAGUAACGCGUAUCCAACCUGCCCACCACUUGGGGAUAACCUUGCGAAAGUAAGACUAAUACCCAAUGACGUCUCUAGAAGACAUCUGAAAGAGAUUAAAGAUUUAUCGGUGAUGGAUGGGGAUGCGUCUGAUUAGCUUGUUGGCGGGGUAACGGCCCACCAAGGCGACGAUCAGUAGGGGUUCUGAGAGGAAGGUCCCCCCACAUUGGAACUGAGACACGGUCCAAACUCCUACGGGAGGCAGCAGUGAGGAAUAUUGGUCAAUGGGCGAGAGCCUGAACCAGCCAAGUAGCGUGCAGGAUGACGGCCCUAUGGGUUGUAAACUGCUUUCAGUCGGGAAUAAUUCGUCGGUCGUGACCGGCGUUGCAGGUACCGUCAUAAGAAGGACCGGCUAAUUCCGUG